GCCCGGGUAGUCCAGGGGUAAGAUUCAUCGUUCGGGUUCUAGACCUUGUCUCGAUGAGACCCGCGUUCGAAUCGCGGCUCGGGCC
rnacentral:tRNA from 1 species